CCUACGGGAGGCAGCAGUGAGGAAUAUUGGUCAAUGGGCGCGAGCCUGAACCAGCCAAGUCGCGUGAGGGAAGACGGUCCUAUGGAUUGUAAACCUCUUUUGUCGGGGAGCAAAAGACGCCACGCGUGGCGUUCCGAGAGUACCCGAAGAAAAAGGAUCGGCUAACUCCGUGCCAGCAGCCGCGGUAAUACGGAGGAUGCGAGCGUUAUCCGGAUUUAUUGGGUUUAAAGGGUGCGCAGGCGGAAGAGCAAGUCAGCGGUAAAAUUGAGAGGCUCACCCUCUUCGAGCCGUUGAAACUGGGUUUCUUGAGUGCGCGAGAAGUAUGCGGAUUGCGUGGUGUAGCGGUGAAAUGCUUAGCUAUCACGAAGAACUCCGAUUGCGACGGCAGCUCACUGGACUGCACCUGACACUGAGGCUCGACAGUGUGGGUAUCAAACAGGAUUAGAUACCCUUGUAGUC
rnacentral:rRNA from 1 species